UUCUAAAAACCUUAAAAUGUAUUACUGGCAUGCGAAACCUUAAAUUAGAGUGAAUAAAUGAAGACUCGGCAUACCACUUCUGAAAGGUUGCCGACCCCUGGACUAGAUAAUAUCUUGGUAGCUGAAGGUAGUUAGGGGAAUGGGGAGAACCUGUCUGGGUCAGGGGAGGACUUUUAUCUGUAGUAGGUGGGAGGCUGUUAACGUCUUGCUUGGUCUCUUCCAGGUUGGCAUCAAUGUUACCUGGUACAACUUUCUAUAAUGGCCUCCCAAAAACCCCAGACAUUGGCCAGCCCUGAUGGGACUUUGUUUUGAUGCUGUCUGUAAAAUUUUGCUGUACCGUUGUGAGCUUCAAGGCAUUUCUUCUGUCUUCGUGCCACACUCACUUCUGGCUGCCUCUGCGGGAGGGAGAAGAGGAGAGUCUUUGAAUCUACCUAAAUGGGUGCUUAAACAGUACCAACCAAUGAAUGUCUGACAGUACUGCAGGUUUCCAUGCUAUUUCAGAUAUGGCAAUAAAUGUGCAUUAGAACUUACCUCUGUCUAACAUAGACGUCCCCACUCUUAUCUAGAAUGUGCCUCCAAUGUAUACACAUGUUGGGUUUUAAAUACUGACUAUAUUGCUUGCUAU